rnacentral:rRNA from 1 species
GUGGUAAUGCCGGAUGCUCCAGUUGAUCGCAUGGUCUUCUGGGAAAGCUUUCGCGGUAUGGGAUGGGGUCGCGUCCUAUCAGCUUGACGGCGGGGUAACGGCCCACCGUGGCUUCGACGGGUAGCCGGCCUGAGAGGGCGACCGGCCACAUUGGGACUGAGAUACGGCCCAGACUCCUACGGGAGGCAGCAGUGGGGAAUAUUGCACAAUGGGCGCAAGCCUGAUGCAGCGACGCCGCGUGAGGGAUGGAGGCCUUCGGGUUGUAAACCUCUUUUAUCGGGGAGCAAGCGAGAGUGAGUUUACCCGUUGAAUAAGCACCGGCUAACUACGUGCCAGCAGCCGCGGUAAUACGUAGGGUGCAAGCGUUAUCCGGAAUUAUUGGGCGUAAAGGGCUCGUAGGCGGUUCGUCGCGUCCGGUGUGAAAGUCCAUCGCUUAACGGUGGAUCCGCGCCGGGUACGGGCGGGCUUGAGUGCGGUAGGGGAGACUGGAAUUCCCGGUGUAACGGUGGAAUGUGUAGAUAUCGGAAAGAACACC